rnacentral:rRNA from 1 species
AUGGCUCAGAUUGAACGCUGGCGGCAGGCCUAACACAUGCAAGUCGAGCGGAUGACGGGAGCUUGCUCCUUGAUUCAGCGGCGGACGGGUGAGUAAUGCCUAGGAAUCUGCCUGGUAGUGGGGGACAACGUUUCGAAAGGAACGCUAAUACCGCAUACGUCCUACGGGAGAAAGCAGG